GUUCGUUCGUUCGUUCGCGUCAUGUGCUCUAGGCACCGCUCCGCUCCGUUUCGUUUCGUUUUGGUUUCGUCUCCUCCGUCGCAUCUUCAAUCUUCGUGCUAGAAAGAGGAGCCGCCACCGCCACGGCACGCAUCCACUCAAAAGACAGUGAGUGUGCCUAGCAGAGGCAGCAGCGAGGACAUGGACAUGGGAGCAGCAGCCACAGUCGCAUAGUCAAGCGCAGCAGCCACAGUCGCCAGAAAUUGCAAGGGCUCCGCCUUCGAGAGGUCCGCCGCCCGAGAGUCCGAUAAACCCAUCUGUGACCUAAGGCCAGGGUCCAAGACCAGAACAAACCAGACCAGACCAGCAGCUCAGCUGGUUCUAAACUCAAGCAAACUAAACGAAACGAGACGAAACGAACAGCAAUGCAACGGAAGUGCAAUCAUUAGCAUGAUUGAUUGUUUUUUUUCACCCGCAAAAUAAGCCUAACCCCACAAAAAUUAUCAAUUAGCCGCAGCCGGUGACUGGACACAUGCUUGGAUCUCCGGACUAACGAUCAACUGAAACACCGUGACGCAAAACCAACAACAGACUCAUUUACUGCUAGCCCAUUGGUUGGGCCCCACACCAAACUGGCCCAUCAAUUUUGGUUCUCCUACCCGCCACCGGGCGCUGGCGGCGGUUCCUCAAACAUUAGCAGAUGAUUACCCCAUUUCGUUUUGGCAUUACUUAG